UACGGAGGGUGCAAGCGUUAUCCGGAUUCACUGGGUUUAAAGGGUGCGUAGGUGGGUUGGUAAGUCAGUGGUGAAAUCCCCGAGCUUAACUUGGGAACUGCCGUUGAUACUAUCAGUCUUGAAUACCGUGGAGGUCGGCGGAAUAUGUCAUGUAGCGGUGAAAUGCUUAGAUAUGACAUAGAACACCAAUUGCGAAGGCAGCUGACUACGCGAGUAUUGACACUGAGGCACGAAAGCGUGGGGAUCAAACAGG
rnacentral:rRNA from 1 species